GGCAUUUAAGAUUUUAGGAUUUAUAAUUCGUAAUGCCUGUAACUUUACCAAUUUAAAGACCAUUAGUACUCUCUAUAAUGUCUAUGUUCGCAGCAUAUUGGAAUAUGCCUCGAUUGUUUGGUGUCCAUUCUAUUCAAUUUACGUACAAAUGUUGGAAAGAGUUCAGAAAAGGUUUUUGCGGUAUUUGUACUAUAAAAAACAUGUUCCAGAAGAACUAUGGCCUGCUUGUUGUUUACACAUAAGAUCCUUCAUAAUAAUAAAGAUUGUUCAUUUCUUCUCGAAAAACUGCUGUUAACGGUAAGAAGUCGCCAAUUUUUCGAAUGUCCAGUGCACCCAACCUACUAUUUCAUAUUGACAGAUUUG